rnacentral:lncRNA from 1 species
UUUGGGUGGUGGCAAGGCCCAAGAGGUUAAGAGAGUUAAGCGUGCUAGGAUGGGAGUAGUCCUAAGAUGGGUGACCCCCUGGGAAGCUGGGGCGUCACAGAUGGUAUCAGAGCCAAUUACCAGCCGGAAGUGUGAGAUGAGUCUCGGCUGAGCCAGGGUCUGGAUGACGGGCUAGCGAGAUGAGUCUCACAUCGCCUGGUACUUGUGAGUCUGAGCCUGACGAGGACGUCAGGGCUUAAAGGAGGGGAGAUUGUGAGACCACAGAUAGUCCUAUAUAUGAGAUAUAAUAUGGCUAAACUCUUAACCCGGCUUAAGCAUUUUGGGUGGUGGCAAGGCCCAAGAGGUUAAGAGAGUUAAGCGUGCUAGGAUGGGAGUAGUCCUAGGAUGGGUGACCCCCUGGGAAGCCGGGGCGUCACAAUUUAGCACUCGAGGUGGGUUGAUGUUUAAGCUACCGGAAUUACCGAAUUUCCUCCUAAGUUUGGUUGUUGUCGGCUUGUAUGUUGAUCAUUGUUUAUCAUGUUAAUUAGCUCAAAUUAAUGGAUUUGCAUGCUUAUAGAAAUCUGAAUUUGGAGCUUAAAUAUUAGCUAAAAUAUACAUGUUGGACUUGGUUUUGACUUAGGAGAAAACUAGCGAUUCUACACCGUCAUUUGUUAAAACUACUAGAUUUAGCUCUAGGAGCCGUAAUUUGUUUGUAUCGCCGCAGUUUAUGGGCGGUGGAUAUCCAGGAUAGUGUAGAAUGCAAUUACGCUCAUAUUAAGAUGCCGAGCUUAUUUUUACAGCAAUGUUUAGACUAUUUCGGACUGUCGGGUGCUGUCGGG